rnacentral:lncRNA from 1 species
UUUUAGCUGAGUAGUGAAAAGGCAAGCUGGCAAUUGCCCUUUGGCUCUGCCAGGGAAGGUCAGAGAAAGGCCUCCCCAGUGAUGGAGAGGGGAAGGAAGUGAGGGGGAGAAAAAACAGUGGAGAGAUAAACAAGCCUUGGCUGGAAGGAGGAGAGAGAAGCCCCCUCUGAAGACGGAGUUUCACCAUGUUGGCCAGGAUGGUCUCUGUCUCUUGACCUCGUGAUCCGCCCGCCUUGGACUUCCAGAGUGCUGGGAUUACAGGCAUGAGCCACCACGCCCAGCCUUGUUUUUGUAUAUUUUGUAGAGACAGGUCUUACUAUGUUGCCCAGGUUUGUCUUGGAGCUCCACUCCAAGGUGGAGCUCAAGCGAUCCACCUGCCUCAGCCUCCCAAAGUGCUGGGAUUACAGAUGUGAGCCACCAUGCCCAGCCUUCAUGGGUUUCCCUAGGAUCACCAGCUGUCAUGGACUGAUUUGUGUCUCUCCAAAUUCAUAUGUUGAAUACUUAACCUGCCAUGCGAUUGUGAUUGGAGAUAAUUCCUUUAGGGAAGCAAUGAAGGUUAAAUGAGGUCAUAGGUGGGAGCUUAAUCCAAUGGGACUGGGGUCCCUACAAGAAGAGGAAGACACCAGAGCUCUCUGUCUCCACACACAGAGAAAAGAGGCUGUAUGAGGACACAAGAGAAGGUAAUAGCUGUCUACAAACCAAGAAGAGAAGCCUCUCCAGAAAAUGAACCCUGCUGGAACUUGGUCUUGGACUUUCCAGCCUCCAGAACUGGGAGAAAAUAAAGUUCAAAAUAAAGUUCUGUUGUGUAAGCCCCCGAGUCCAUGGUAUUUUGUUAUGGCAG